GACGAACGCUGGCGGCGCGCCUAACACAUGCAAGUCGAACGAGCGAGAGAGAGCUUGCUUUCUCAAGCGAGUGGCGAACGGGUGAGUAACGCGUGAGGAACCUGCCUCAAAGAGGGGGACAACAGUUGGAAACGACUGCUAAUACCGCAUAAGCCCACGACCCGGCAUCGGGUAGAGGGAAAAGGAGCAAUCCGCUUUGAGAUGGCCUCGCGUCCGAUUAGCUAGUUGGUGAGGUAACGGCCCACCAAGGCGACGAUCGGUAGCCGGACUGAGAGGUUGAACGGCCACAUUGGGACUGAGACACGGCCCAGACUCCUACGGGAGGCAGCAGUGGGGAAUAUUGCACAAUGGGGGAAACCCUGAUGCAGCGACGCCGCGUGGAGGAAGAAGGUCUUCGGAUUGCAAACUCCUGUUGUUGAGGAAGAUAAUGACGGUACUCAACAAGGAAGUGACGGCUAACUACGUG
rnacentral:rRNA from 1 species